rnacentral:rRNA from 1 species
GACGAACGCUGGCGGCGUGCUUAACACAUGCAAGUCGAACGGGCCUUGUCCCCUUUUUUUUUGGGGGUGGGGUUAGUGGCGAACGGGUGAGUAACACGUGAGUAACCUGCCCCUCACUUCUGGAUAACCGCUUGAAAGGGUGGCUAAUACGGGGUGUUCUGGCCUGCUCGCAUGGGUGGGUUUGGAAAGAUUCGACCGGUUUUGGUUGUUUUGGUGGGGGAUGGGCUCGCGGCCUAUCAGCUUGUUGGGGGGGUGAUGGCCUGCCAAGGCUUUGACGGGUAGCCGGCCUGAGAGGGUGGGCGGUCACACUGGGACUGAGACGCGGCCCAGACUCCUACGGGAGGCAGCAGUGGGGAAUAUUGCACAAUGGGCGCAAGCCGGAUGCAGCGACGCCGCGUGAGGGAUGGAGGCCUUCGGGUUGUGAACCUCUUUCGCCAGUGAAGAAGGUCCUGCUCUUUGUGGUGGGGUUGACGGUAGCUGGGUUAAUGAAGCGCCGGCUAACUACGUG